rnacentral:pre_miRNA from 1 species
CAAAUACUCCCUCCGUCCAGAAAUACUUGUCAUCAAAAUGGAUAAAAGGAAAUGUAUCUAGACGUAUUUUAGUUUUAGAUACAUUUCUUUUUAUCCAUUUUGAUGACAAGUAUUUUUGGACAGAGGGAGUAGAAA